rfam:Aedes aegypti strain Liverpool supercont1.203 genomic scaffold, whole genome shotgun sequence.
UGCCCAGCAGCUCCUGUCCCUACCUCCUCGCGGUACUGGCCGGGUUACGAGUAACCUUGGGGAAGAUCGGGUAACCAAGCCCCAAUAAGAACUUUGGUCGAAUGCUGACAGGGAAGG